CAAUCAAACCGGGAGAUAGCUGGUUCUCCCCGAAAGCUAUUUAGGUAGCGCCUCGUGAAUUCAUCUCCGGGGGUAGAGCACUGUUUCGGCUAGGGGGCCAUCCCGGCUUACCAACCCGAUGCAAACUGCGAAUACCGGAGAAUGUUAUCACGGGAGACACACGGCGGGUGCUAACGUCCGUCGUGAAGAGGGAAACAACCCAGACCGCCAGCUAAGGUCCCAAAGUCAUGGUUAAGUGGGAAACGAUGUGGGAAGGCCCAGACAGCCAGGAUGUUGGCUUAGAAGCAGCCAUCAUUUAAAGAAAGCGUAAUAGCUCACUGGUCGAGUCGGCCUGCGCGGAAGAUGUAACGGGGCUAAACCAUGCACCGAAGCUGCGGCAGCGAACGUAUCACCCAAGACAACUUUACGGAGUUGACGAUUGACGGAGCGAAGCGACGUCAAAGCGUUCAUUAAAGUCGAGUUGGCUUAGGGAUACGUUCGUUGGGUAGGGGAGCGUUCUGUAAGCCUGUGAAGGUGUGUCGUGAGGCAUGCUGGAGGUAU
rnacentral:rRNA from 2 species